AUAUGCACUUGCUCUGCAAACACGCAAACUGUUCUGUGCGCUCAGCGUCUCUGUCUCAUCACUGAACGGGGCUUUUUCUCUUCCUGCUCACGACAACAAGCAGGCUCGGUGGAGGAGAGCUGCACGAUCCAGUCGCGUGCAGGGACUUCUUGGUGUGAAUUUGAGGAGCAAUGUUUGCAACAGAUUAACAGAGUUGUGUUGAAGGCACGCGCACUAGUAGCGGGAAACACCUUGCUCUUUCGAGUCGAGACAUCUGGGAAGUGAAAUUUCAGAGUAGUUACAGGAAAUCAAUAAACAUACUUGAAACAGGGGUUAGCAGGUGUGAUUGGAGAGGUGAUGGAGUGGCGUCAGCAGUCUGCAGUCAGCUGUGAGCUGGCGUUCCAGGAGGCGCAGAGAUGGCUUGAGGUAAUGGCG